GGAAGGAUCAUUAUCGUACAAAAUGUGAGGGGCAUGUGAGGGCUGUCGCUGACUCAAAGUCGUGCACGCCCGAGUGUGUCCUCUCACAUAAUAAUCCAUCUCACCCUUUGUGCAUCGCCGCGUGGGCACCCUUUGGGAUCAUCUCGGAGGGGGCUCGCGUUUUCACACAAACCCCCCUUUUAAAAGUGUAGAAUGACCUCAUUUAUGCGCUAACACGCAAUCAAUACAACUUUCAACAACGGAUCUCUUGGCUCUCGCAUCGAUGAAGAACGCAGCGAAAUGCGAUACGUAAUGUGAAUUGCAGAAUUCAGUGAAUCAUCGAAUCUUUGAACGCACCUUGCGCCCCUUGGUAUUCCGAGGGGCACACCCGUUUGAGUGUCGUGAAAACCUCAACCUCCUUGGUUUCUUCUGGAGACCAAAGGCAGGCUUGGACUUUGGAGGCCUUUGCUGGAACCUCUCUCUUUUGAAGGCCAGCUCCUCUUAAAUGAAUUAGCAGGGUCCUCUUUGCCGAUCCUCGACGUGUGAUAAGAUGUUUCCAUGUCUUGGUUUCUGGCUCUGUCACUUUUGGGACCCGCUUCUAACCGUCUUGACCUUGCAUCGAGACAAUGUUCGAGCAUGUCUCCCUUCUCGGGAAGCUCCCUCGACCCCACGAACCCUUGACCUCAAAUCGGGUGAG
rnacentral:rRNA from 1 species